UACAGAGGGGGCAAGCGUUAUUCGGAAUUAUUGGGCGUAAAGGGCGCGUAGGCGGCUUUGCAAGUGACGGGUGAAAUCCCUCGGCUUAACCGAGGAACUGCCUGUCAAACUGCAUGGCUUGAGACCGGGAGAGGUGAGUGGAAUUCCCAGUGUAGCGGUGAAAUGCGUAGAUAUCGGGAGGAACACCAGUGGCGAAGGCGACUUCCUGGCCUGUUCUUGACGCUGAGGCGCGAAAGCUAGGGUAGCAAACGGG
rnacentral:rRNA from 1 species